GCCGAAGUGGCGGAACGGCAGACGCACACGACUCAAAAUCGUGCGGGAAACCAUGUGGGUUCAAAUCCCACCUUCGGCACCA
rnacentral:tRNA from 2 species